AUGGCCACCUACAUGGAGGUGAGCGUGUCUGGCUUCGAGGAAUUCUACUAGGCUGUAAAGGAGUACCAGGGCAAGACCAUUUUCGCCUACUUCAUCGGUUCUAAGGAUGCCGAAGGGAAGAGCUGGUGUCCGGAUUGCGUGGAAGCUGAGCCAGUCGUUUGAGAGGGGCUGAAGCAUGUUACGGAAGACUGCAUGUUCAUCUACUGACAAGUGGAAGACAGAUCUCACUGGAAAGACCCAAAUAAUGACUUCAGACAAAAACUGAAAUUAACCCCAGUGCCUACACUGCUUAAGUAUGGAACACCUCAAAAACUUAUGGAAUCUGAGUGCCUUCAGCCCAACCUCCUGAAAAUGAUAUUCUCUGAACAUUAAGAUU